AGGGGGUUAGUUUUAAGAAAACGUUUGGUUUCGGCCCAAAAAUUUGUGGUUCAAACCCACAGCCAUCCU
rnacentral:tRNA from 1 species